GAAUCUUGCGCAAUGGGCGAAAGCCUGAUCUAGCCAUGCCGCGUGAGCGACGAAGGCCUUAGGGUUGUAAAGCUCUUUCACCGGGGAAGAUAAUGACGGUACCCGGAGAAGAAGCCCCGGCUAACUCCGUGCCAGCAGCCGCGGUAAUACGGAGGGGGCUAGCGUUGUUCGGAAUUACUGGGCGUAAAGCGCGCGUAGGCGGAUUGUUAAGUCGGGGGUGAAAUCCCGGGGCUCAACGCCGGAACUGCCUCCGAUACUGGCAGUCUUGAGUCCGAGAGAGGUGAGUGGAAUUCCGAGUGUAGAGGUGAAAUUCGUAGAUAUUCGGAGGAACACCAGUGGCGAAGGCGGCUCACUGGCUCGGUACUGACGCUGAGGUGCGAAAGCGUGGGGAGCAAACAGG
rnacentral:rRNA from 1 species